rnacentral:rRNA from 1 species
UACGAAGGGGGCUAGCGUUGCUCGGAAUCACUGGGCGUAAAGGGCGCGUAGGCGGCCAUUCAAGUCGGGGGUGAAAGCCUGUGGCUCAACCACAGAAUUGCCUUCGAUACUGUUUGGCUUGAGACCGGAAGAGGUAAGUGGAACUGCGAGUGUAGAGGUGAAAUUCGUAGAUAUUCGCAAGAACACCAGUGGCGAAGGCGGCCUGCUGGGCAGUAGCUGACACUGAGGCGCGACAGCGUGGGGAGCAAACAGG